AACGAACGCUGGCGGCAUGCCUAACACAUGCAAGUCGAACGAGAUCUUCGGGUCUAGUGGCGCACGGGUGCGUAACGCGUGGGAAUCAGCCCUUUGGUUCGGAAUAACAGUUGGAAACGACUGCUAAUACCGGAUGAUGACGAAAGUCCAAAGAUUUAUCGCAAGAGGAUGAGCCCGCGUAGGAUUAGCUAGUGGGUGUGGUAAAGGCGCACCAAGGCGACGAUCCUUAGCUGGUCUGAGAGGAUGAUCAGCCACACUGGGACGGAGACACGGCCCAGACUCCUACGGGAGGCAGCAGUGGGGAAUAUUGGACAAUGGGCGAAGGCCUGAUCCAGCAAUGCCGCGUGAGUGAUGAAGGCCUUAGGGUUGUAAAGCUCUUUUACCCGGGAUGAUAAUGACAGUACCGGGAGAAUAAGCUCCGGCUAACUCCGUGCCAGCCGCCGCAGUAA
rnacentral:rRNA from 1 species